rnacentral:miRNA from 1 species
UUCGCCAGCCAUUCACAAAAU